rfam:Mesocricetus auratus contig174876, whole genome shotgun sequence.
GGAUGUGAGGGAGAUCUGGCUGCAACAUCUGUCAUCCCAUUGAUCGCCAGGGUUGAUUAGGCUGAUCUGGCUGGCUAGGUGGGUGUCCCUUUCCUCCCUCCCCGCUCCAUGUGUGUCCCUCUGGGUCGAAGAAGACAAUCUUCCCCAAUAGAGGAGGGCCGGUCUUCUGUCAAGGGUAUGCGAGUAGCUGUGCUCCCCUGCUAGACCCUCCAAACAAGCUCUCAAGGUUUAGAUAAUGAUUCACGUUUCCCAAUUUACAGUGAGCUGGCAAUGACUUCUUUGACUGUGCGAUAACAUCACUGCAAAGUGCAUUCAUCACAAACCGUGCUUUUGUGUUUGUGUCU